rnacentral:rRNA from 1 species
UGCAGUCGAGCGGACCGACGGGAGCUUGCUCCCUUAGGUCAGCGGCGGACGGGUGAGUAACACGUGGGUAACCUGCCUGUAAGACUGGGAUAACUCCGGGAAACCGGGGCUAAUACCGGAUGCUUGAUUGAACCGCAUGGUUCAAUCAUAAAAGGCGGCUUCGGCUGCCGUUUACAGAUGGACCCGCGGCGCAUUAGCUAGUUGGUGAGGUAACGGCUCACCAAGGCGACGAUGCGUAGCCGACCUGAGAGGGUGAUCGGCCACACUGGGACUGAGACACGGCCCAGACUCCUACGGGAGGCAGCAGUAGGGAAUCUUCCGCAAUGGACGAGAGUCUGACGGAGCAACGCCGCGUGAGUGAUGAAGGUUUUCGGAUCGUAAAGCUCUGUUGUUAGGGAAGAACAAGUACCGUUCGAAUAGGGCGGUACCUUGACGGUACCUAACCAGAAAGCCACGGCUAACUACGUGCCAGCAGCCGCGGUAAUACGUAGGUGGCAAGCGUUGUCCGGAAUUA